rnacentral:rRNA from 1 species
AGUCAUAUGCUUGUCUCAAAGAUUAAGCCAUGCAUGUCUAAGUACAGGCCUAAGUAAGGCGAAACCGCGGACGGCUCAUUAAAUCAGAUAUAAUUCAUUGGAUCUGUAAAUCACUUACUUGGAUAACUGUGGUAAUUCUAGAGCUAAUACAUGCCUUUAGAGACUCUGACAGUAAUGGAAGAGCGCUUUUAUUAGUACCAAAACCAUUCGGGCCUUGGGCCGGAAUAACCUGGUGAAUCUAGAUAACCUUUCUGCUGAGCGCACGUCCUUUACAGCGACGGCGCCGCAUCUUGCAAGUGUCUGCCUUAUCAGCUCUCGAUUGUAGGUUAAACGCCUACAAUGGCUAUAACGGGUAACGGGGAAUCAGGGUUCGAUUCCGGAGAGGGAGCCUGAGAAACGGCUACCACAUCUAAGGAAGGCAGCAGGCGCGCAAAUUACCCACUCCCGGCACGGGGAGGUAGUGACGAAAAAUACUGUAGCGAGACUCCAUCGAGGCUUCGCUAUUGGAAUGAGUACACUUUAAAUCCUUGCACGAGGAUCGAGUGGAGGGCAAGUCUGGUGCCAGCCGCCGCGGUAAUUCCAGCUCCAUUAGCGUAUAUUAAAGUUGUUGCGGUUAAAACGCUCGUAGUUGGCUCUCUGUUCGGGACUGGCGGUGCACCUUAGCGGUGCUACUGUUCUCAGCUUCCCGGCUAAAACCCCGUCGGCUCGCCUGGGGUGCUCUUCACCGAGUGUCCCUAGUGGCCGACACGUUUACCUUGAAAAAAUUAGAGUGCUCAGAGCAGGCUAACCUAACAGCCUGAAUGGUGGUGCAUGGAAUGAUGGAAUAGGACCUCGGUUCUAUUUUGUUGGUUUUCGGAACCCGAGGUAAUGAUUAAGAGAAGCGGACGGGGGCAUUCGUACUGCGACGAUAGAGGUGAAAUUCUUAGACCGUCGCAUGACGAGCUACUGCGAAAGCAUUUGCCAAGGAUGUUUUCAUUAAUCAAGAACGAAAGUUAGAGGUUCGAAGGCGAUCAGAUACCGCCCUAGUUCUAACCAUAAACGAUGCUGACUAGCGAUCCGCCGCAGUUAUUCCCAUGACCCGGCGGGGAGCUUCCGGGAAACCAAAGUCUUUGAGUUCCGGGGGAAGUAUGGUUGCAAAGCUGAAACUUAAAGGAAUUGACGGAAGGGCACCACCAGGAGUGGAGCCUGCGGCUCAAUUUGACUCAACACGGGGAACCUUACCAGGCCCGGACACUGGAAGGAUUGACAGAUUGAAAGCUCUUUCUCGAUUCGGUGGGUGGUGGUGCAUGGCCGUUCUUAGUUGGUGGAGUGAUUUGUCUGGUUAAUUCCGAUAACGAACGAGACUCUAGCCUAUUAAAUAGUCGGUGGAUAUACAGUGGCACUUGUUGUCUAAUCAAAAACCAUGAAAGUAGUUCCUUCUGGCCGCGUGGGGAGGUCGGUGCGGUGUCUUGGUGUUGUGUUGUACCUCGUGUACUUCGCGCGCCGGGCCCGUGUUGUUCCGAACUCGUGUGUUGGUUGGUUCUGCAAUAUGAAUUGGUGUCUAAAUCGCAGCUUCUUCUUAGAGGGAUAAGCGGCAGCAAAUAAAAUACUAGCCGCACGAGAGAUUGAGCCAUAACAGGUCUGUGAUGCCCUUAGAUGUUCUGGGCCGCACGCGCGCUACAAUGGAGAGUUCAGCCAGCUCUCCCUGCUCCGACAGGAGUGGGUAACCUUAUCAAAGCUGUCCUUAAAGGGGAUUGGGGCUUGCAAAUAUGGCCCAUGAACGAGGAAUUCCCAGUAGGCGCAAUUCACCAGAUUGCACCGAUUUAGUCCCUGCCCUUUGUACACACCGCCCGUCGCUACUACCGAUUGAAUGGUCUAGUGAGGGCAUCGGACUGGCGCUCCUGGAGUGGUCAUCUAGGUUUCGAUAAGAGUGCCUCUGGUGCUUGAAGCUUAGGUGCCGCCUCGAGUCGACGGAAAGAUGUCCGAGCUGGGUCAUUUAGAGGAAGUAAAAGUCGUAACAAGGUUUCCGUAGGUGAACCUGC